AUCCAGCUGACGAGUUCCAACUUGGACGAAACAGGUGUCCUGGAU
rnacentral:hammerhead_ribozyme from 1 species